UACGUAGGGUGCGAGCGUUGUCCGGAAUUACUGGGCGUAAAGAGCUCGUAGGUGGUUUGUCGCGUUGUUCGUGAAAUCUCACGGCUUAACUGUGAGCGUGCGGGCGAUACGGGCAGACUGGAGUACUGCAGGGGAGACUGGAAUUCCUGGUGUAGCGGUGAAAUGCGCAGAUAUCAGGAGGAACACCGGUGGCGAAGGCGGGUCUCUGGGCCGUAACUGACGCUGAGGAGCGAAAGCGUGGGGAGCGAACAGG
rnacentral:rRNA from 1 species